rnacentral:lncRNA from 1 species
CCGAGGGUCAUCUCCUGUUGACUCUGCGUUCUUCAUCCUUGAUCUCACAGGUGAAGUUGGAGCACUGGCGGUGGCUGCCGAGCACGACAGGACAAUGUCACUAGCAUUGAUCUCCGCCCCCUGAGCUGCUAGCCUGUAAAGAAGCGACUUCUUCACCCCGUGAUACUCUUCCUCCGAGAUGCAUCGAGCGUACAGAAGCUCCUACAAGUGGAAAGACAUCACGUAAGUAAGAUCAUCGAAGAACUCCAUCAAGAAAAAAACUAUACGAUCACGCACUCUUACGAACUUCAGAACAAUGAAAAGUACCUGGAGGAACAGAAGCUUGUCUCUCGUGACCUGGGGGUACUCGCCUCCAUCGUAGCAAACAUCGAUGUUGUCCAGUAUCUUCUGGCGAAAGGACGCGACAUCCGAUUCACUGACCAGUCCCUCUUGGAACAAACCCUUCAUGUUGACAAGCCGGAGGAACAUAUCCUGCUGCCACUUGAGAUUCUCUGCCUGUUGGUGGCUCGCCCUCCUCUCGGCAAGGCCAGGCGUCCAUCCCGCGGCAUUGUGCCUGGACGACGAGCAUCGCCGCAACGCCGGGACGAAGUUCCGAUAGAUUUCCAUGGCGCUGUCCUAGAAAUCCAAAACACUGAGCGGAUGGAUCCCGGCUAGAGCGAAGGGAAUACCUGGAUCGCCUUGAAUGAAUUGCCGCCGCCUCCUCUUACCGACAUUGUUGCGCGCUGCUCGGAGACAAAGAUUUUGCAGGUGAUGCCGAUGCGCCGCGGCUGACGAUCGAUCGCCUGGAACCCUAGCUCAGCGCCUUCGGUUCAUACGAAUCAAUCCUUCUUCUCCUCUCUAUUCGCGAGGGUUUCCAAAAUAUGAGCUUUGCGGUCCAACGGUCAUCCCCAUCGCAGCCGUCAACAAACCAACGGCCCAGAUCUAGAUCUUAGAUUCCGGAAUCAGAGCUUGUCCGCUAGCGCGGAAAAACACUACUUAAAGACAAAAAUCUGAAUAUUCUUUCUUUAGUAUACACCAACCAAAGUUCGAACAACGAAGAACACAAUCCCAUGAUCUUCGAGACAAUUGAAAAUUAAAGAGAAAGAGAAAGAGAGAUAGAACGAGAGAGUCAUCCAAAAGAUAGCUAGAGAGAAAAAUAAAGAUCGAGACGAAAGAACCUCCAGAGUGUGUAGUGUAAUCUUAAAACUUUCCUUCUCGCCACCACCAGCACCACCACGAAAUUCACGCUUCCUUCUCGUCGAUGCUGGGCUUGAUGUAAGGAAGAAGCCCGAAAAAAUGCCGCAGCUCUCCAAUUGCUAAGCUCUAAAAACUGUAAGAACUGAUAGGGUUCCUGUCGCCCAUUUGCAAUUGAGUCCGCGUCAUGAUCAUAGAAAUGACAGUUCUUACGUGAAUGUGUAAGUGGAGUUCGUCCUGAGUAGAGCUCGUCAAUCAAAGUCCAAGUUCGCUCGCUCGCGAGGAGCCGGAAACCCAUGGAUUAGCCGCGGAAGUGGCUGGAUCUCCCUUGCAUCGCAAAAGCUAUAGCUCAAGGGUGGCGAGAUGAUCAUGCCUCGCCCGUUUUAAGACUGUUUGAAAUUCUAGACUCGAAGAGGAGUUUUUCUGUGUGGUAGCUUCUCAAUCUCCGCGCAUAGCUUCCCGUCCAGCUCCCUCUCGGAUUGCUCCACGCUCGCAUUGAACGACGUGACUUUGUUUGGCCGGGGUGAGCUCUCGUCCGUGCUUGUGAAGCACCGGGUGUUCACGCUGGAUUUGCUGCUCAUUUGCUUAGAUGUGAUGGCAUUGUUGUGGCGUCGUUCUCGCGACUGUUCCCAGAUCGCCGCUUUCUGCUUCGCAUUCUUGCUUGCCGCUUCCAUGUCUUUNNNNNNNNNNNNNNNNNNNNNNNNNNNNNNNNNNNNNNNNNNNNNNNNNNNNNNNNNNNNNNNNNNNNNNNNNNNNNNNNNNNNNNNNNNNNNNNNNNNNUGAAAGUUAGCGAAAGAGAUCUAAUGUGAAUGUCAAGGAACUUACUUUGGAAAGAAGCGCAUCAGCUCCAUGGCAAUUGCAUCUAUUCGAUCGUUCCUGCACCCAUUUGCAAUGAGUCAGCGUCAUGAUCAUAGAACUGUCUGCCUGUUGAUCGCGCUCAAGCUCCUUAAUGUUUUCGCCAAGAACCUGGACAGACUUCGAGAGUUAAUGCACACUCAAACGAGAAGAGAGAUAUGUACCUUGUCAAUAUAAAAGUCAGUAGAAGCUCCCCCCUCGGCUUGGAACUUCUUUGUAGAGCUAGCUUCGACGGGUCUUUCCAACGUAGACGCAAAACCGUUCUUAGAGCACGCUUCAGCUGAUGGAGGAGCCUUUGCAGGAUUUCUAUCUUGGGCAUCUUAGAGCAUGCUUCGACUGAUGCAAAGAAGAAACCGUUCUUCUUUGAGCAUGCUUCGGCAGACGCGGGAGCCUUGGAAGGACUUUCCAUCAUCGUCUGAGCAUGCUUCGGCGGAUGGAGGAGCCUUUGGAGAGUUUCCAACCGUAGAAAAGAAACCGUUGGAAGAGCUUUCCAUCGUGGACACGGAACCGCUUGGAGAGUGGAAGAGGGGCGACCUGCAUUGAUCCGAGGUGUCAGACUCUAGUCUCUGGCACUGAUAAAGUCGAGUCCAGUCCGUGAGGAACUCUUCUCUCGUUAUUCUUCCCACUCUGCUUGCAGCUUCGAACAAGUGCUGCACCGGGGACUUGCUCUUCGCUACUCUUUGCAUUGCCUCGUCCUUUAGCUUCUCCCGAGGAUCAUCUCCUGCAUUCUUCAUCCUUGCUCUCACAGGUGAAGUUGGAGCACUGGCUGUGGCUGCCAGGCACGACAAGACAAUGUCACUGGAAUUGAUCUCCGCCCCUUGAGCUGCUAGCCUGUAAAGAAGCGACUUCUUCGCCGCGGGAUACUCUUCUUCCGAGAUGCAUCGCGCGCACAGAAGCUCCUAGAAGU